ensembl:snRNA U6 U6 spliceosomal RNA
GUGUUCACUUCGGCAGCACAUAUACUAAAACUGCAAUGAUACAGAGAUUAGCAUGGCCCCUGUGCACAGAUGACAUGCACAUGCACAUUCAUAAAGCAUUCCAUAUUUUU